rnacentral:lncRNA from 1 species
GACAAGCUGUAGCAUACCACAAAUAAUUGUUUAAAGUUCUCAUCUGCAUAAAAGAUAAUUGCAGUUUUCAUGCCUUAAGAAGAACUUAUUUGAAUACUAUUCUUUGCAUGGUUGGUAGAACCAUCUCGAACUGCUUGAUUCGGGGUGUGCUAGACUAUACUGGCCCCGGACCUAGAUGGUUCUGACUUUCAAAACGAGACAAUGGUGAGGAACCAAGGGAGGGAGAAGGAAAGAGGAAAGAGAGAGAGAGAGAGAGAAGGGGAGAUAAGGAAAAGGAGAGGGAGAAAUAGCUUCUGGAGGCUGUCCGAGGGCUACCAAGGCCACCACUGAUGCUGUCGAGGCAGUGGAUAUCAUCCCGAAUUGACAUAGUAGAGAGGGGGAGAGGGAGAAGAAAAGAGAGGAAAGAAAGAGAGAAGGGGAGAGAAGGGAGAGGGAGAA